UGAGCUGUUUUCUGAUUGCUGCUAUUUGCAUUCCUCAAUUCCGAUUAGACGUUAACUCCUAGCGAGACUGAGCAGUGGAAGCAGGAGAGGGCCAAGCCAGCCUUAUGUCAGCUGGCACAGCCCGGCACAAGGACAGAUGAAUGCUGCAGAAGGGAGGAGGAGUUGACUACGGAUGUCCGCACGAAGUUCCUUCAUGGGAGAGAGAGUGUGCUCUUAGCAGAUCCUUCCAAGGCAAAAGAAACGUUCAGGACUGAAAUAUGCUGUGCUUGAAUUCACCUUUGAGCUACAGCACUAGACAUUAAGAUUACAAACAUCUGGUCCAACCCAAAGGUGUGUGUGCUGUUGGAAGUUCUGUGUAUCUGGUUUUGGAUCUCAUUUUUGACAGAGCUCCUGGAGAGAAGAACGUGAGAG